AACGAACGCUGGCGGCAUGCCUAACACAUGCAAGUCGAACGAUCCCUUCGGGGAUAGUGGCGCACGGGUGCGUCACGCGUGGGAACCUGCCCUUAGGUUCGGAAUAACUCAGAGAAAUUUGGGCUAAUACCGGAUAAUGUCUUCGGACCAAAGAUUUAUCGCCUUUGGAUGGGCCCGCGUUGGAUUAGCUAGUUGGUGGGGUAAAGGCCUACCAAGGCGAGGAUCCAUGGCUGGUCUGAGAGGAUGAUCAGCCACACUGGGACUAGGACACGGCCCAGAAUCCUACGCGAUGCAGGAGAGGGGGAUAUUGGACAAUGGGCGGAGGGAUGAUGCAGCAAUGCCGGGUGAGUGAUGAAGGCCGUAGGGUUGUAAAGCUCUUUUACCCGGGAUGGUAAUGACGGUACCGAGAGAAUAAGCCCCGGCUAACUCCGUG
rnacentral:rRNA from 1 species